AGUGUCCAAUGUGAGGGCGUUACAUUAGCAACUAAUCCACCCAUACACUUAGCUCAAGCUUUCAAGGUGGAGUAGCUAAAGGAGGAGCAACCCAAAAGCAAACUGGAGGACAACACUAAAUUGGUAAAACUUAAACUUCUCUCCUCCUUACUAAGGUACGCAUUUUUUGACUCAAACUCUAAAUAUUCUAUUAUUAUCAAUGCUAGCCUAUCUGAAAUAGAGGAAAAAAAAUUGUUAAAAGUGCUUAGGACCUAUAGCAAAGUUAUAGGAUAUAAAAUAGAAGACCUAAAAGGGAUUAAUCCUUCAAUUUGCAUGCAUAGGAUACCUAUGGAGGAAAACAACAAACCCACUAUUGAACACUGAAGAAGCCUUAACCCAAACAUGAAAGAAGUAGUUAAGAAAGAAAUUCUGAAACUAUUAGAUGCAUAUAUUAUAUACCCAAUUUCUAAUAGUAAAUGGGUUAGUCCAGUACAUAUAGUGCCUAAGAAAGGUGGGACAACUGUCGUUCAAAAUACAAACAAUGAACUGAUCCUUACUAGGGUAGUUACUGGUCGGUGCAUGUGCAUAGAUUAUAGGAAGUUAAAUAGUGCCACAAAAAAAGAUUAUUUUGCUCUCCCUUUCAUAGAUCAAAUGCUGGAAAGACUAAUAAAACAUUAUUACUUUUAUUAUCUAUAUGGGUAUUCAGGAUUUUUUUCAAAUUCCUAUUCAUCCAGAAGACCAGAAAAGGACCACAUUCAUAUGUCCUUAUGGAACCUUUGCAUAUAGAAUGAUGCCUUUUAGUCUUUGUAAUACCCAUGUUACUUUUCAAAGAUACAUGAUGAUCAUUUUUUCUGAUUAUAUUGAAAAUAUCAUGGAAGUUUUUAUGGAUGAUUUUUCUGUCUAUGAAACUACUUUUGAUGAUUGCCUAGCUAACUUGUCCAAAGUGUUGCAAAUAUGUGAAGAAUCGAACCUGGUCUUGAAUUGGGAAAAAUGUCACUUCAUGGUAAGGGAGGGCAUAGUUCUUGGCCAUCUGAUAUCAGAAAGAGGGAUUGAAGUUGACAUGGCAAAAAUUGAAAUUACUGAAAAGAUGCCAUGAUACACUUUUAUUAUAUAGAUAUUUUUAAGUAUAUUUGUAUAAUAUUUCAUAGCAUUUAGAUAAGUAAUCUCAUGCAUAAUCAUCAAUUUCACAAACUUUUGUGAAUUCCAUGGUUAGGCUCUGAAUUUUAUAUUUUUUGUAUGUUUCCAGGUGUUUUAAGGAAGUUCCACGGCAUAGGAGCAAAGUAAGGAGUUUAGAAAGGCCAAAAGAUUGAGAAGUGUUGCUGAUACACCUUACACAGGUCGUGUAAGCAAAGCCAUAGACCAAUGUAACCUACUGUCAGGAGAAAGCUAAAGAACGAAGGAAGAAACAAAGUACACGGGCCAUGUACCAUGACCCGUGUAAAAUAUGGAUACCCGUGUAAGUCUCUACCUGGCCAGUCUAAAAGAGUUCCCCAAAGUACAAAAGUACACGGGUCGUGUAAUCAAGCCUGUGUAACUACCUAAGGUCCGUGUAAAGUCCUGUCUCAAUACAAGAUACAACAAUUCAAGCUCCAACAAGUAACAAGGCCUUGGGCCGUGUAGUGACACAUGGGCCGUGUAUCAGUCGAUAGUUAGUUUCUUAAUUUGGCUCCAGCUCUAAUUUUUGACAAAGAGAAGAGACUUCUAAUGCUGUUAGGAUUCUGAAAAUCUAACCCUAGAUAUUGUAUAUAAAUAGGAGUAGCAGAAACCAGAAAAGGAAAGGGGGAGAGGCCGGACAAUAUCACCUUCACUAUUUUCACAUGACCGUCUAGAAGAAUAGUGCAUCAGCAUCAAGGAGGAACCCUCAGCUGAAGUUCCACAAGAUCAAAGUUGCAGAUUCUCUUUAGUUCUUUUGUUCUAUCACUUUAAGCGGACUUCUAUUGUUCUUUUAUUUUAUUUUUAUUAUGUUUGCUGAACUCACCAUGAGUAAGUAAUUUCCAUAUUUUAGAAUUAGG
rnacentral:misc_RNA from 1 species